GCUGGGCUGGAGAGGACCGUCACAAUCCCGUGGGGGCGGCCGAGGGGGCGGACACGACGGGGGCGCAUCCCCGUGCGGCGUCGGCACACACGUCACCCUUAGAUGUCCAUUUCCGGGGACGGCAGAGGGCACAGGCGUUGGGCCCCCCCAAGGCACGGAGUUCCGACCCUGGCCAGAAUGGGAUCGCGCUCAGCGAGCAGUGAGUGAGUGAAACACACCCUCGGUUCCGUCCGAAAGAAAAGAGCACAGACCUGGAUACAAGUACCUGCCCCCCGGGCACCGGGCAGGGCCCACAGAGGGGACUGGUUGUGACGCAGAGGGUGCGGCCCAACCCCAAGGCGCGAGGGAGCGCAGCCAGCCUCCCCAGCUUCCCUUCAAGGGUUCGCUUGGAGACUCACCGCCGAGCGCCCUUCUGUCCGAGCGAGGCCCGGGCUGACCAACGCUCUACCCAGUGAGCUGCCCUUUGGGAAAUGGGGUCUGAGGCCAAGUGACAAGCCCUCGGUCAAGGCAUGUGUAGUGAGUGUAGCUCAGAUAUGGGCCACCUGCCUCUCCUGUCCCGACGCAGCUCUGGGAGGGUCUCCACCGAGCCCUGCUCUGCAACCGCAGACUUCUGCUUUCUCUCAGCCCCACUUACUGCCUCCCCACUGCUGGCUCAUCCCCAUUUCCUCCCCCUCCCCGACUCACCUCUGCACCGGGCGCCCUGCCCUGCAUCCAGCGCUCUGCAGGGCUGCUCCUGGCGCGUCCCUCCAGCAGACUGUCACUUGAAGGUGACAAGAAGGUGACAGCAGCAGAGCCACCUCAAGCGCAAUUGCUCCGCACACUGACCCUCAGGAUCAGGAUGCGGGAAAUGGUGUAGACAGUGAUAGACGGACCUUCCCGCCAGGGAAGCCACUCUUCCACUUCUCCCACCUCCUGGGGUCCGUCUUUUGUAAGCCACGUGGAGGCCGGCUGUUUGCUGAGGUGACUGGAGGGCACUAGGCAACGCUACACCUCGCGUUCCAUUUCAAGCCGCCACACCUUCGUCCUGCUCUGGAAAAUUGGCGCGUGGAUCGCCGUGCGUUCAGGGCUGACCUACAGGAACAGCGGCACGUUUGUUCUCAUUAUUAACAGCCCUCACAUCGGUCUGGUGCCUUACAGAUGAUCAGAGAUUCCACGUAUUUUGUCCAUUUGUUAACUGAUGUGGUUUGCUGCCGAGCCAUGACUCGAGAAGGGGCUGACCCUGCAUAGGAUUGUUGGGGGAUUAGAGGCAUGUCCUAAACCACCACUGUGCUGUCGUUGCUGGAGGCACAUCCCUGAGCCUUCCAGGGGAUGGAUCCCUUUGCAACAGUAGCUCCCACUGAGUGAGAUGGUUGGGGAGUGGGCGUCUUUGGUUAAACGGGCAUUUUGGGUAACUGCGAGCUCUUAACGUCUACCAUUCAUGGAGUAUGCGUUUCCAAAGAAUUAAAACGCAGACGGUGCUUCCGGGGCUACAUCCUUGUGAACAUAGAGGCAAAAAUCCUCAACAAGAGAUUAGCAAACCAGAUUCAACAGUCAACACGACCACUCACUGCGGCCGAGCGGGGUUUAUUCCAGGGAUGCAAGGAUAGUUCGACAGCCACGCAGCCACCAACGGGAUUCACCGCGUUGACCAGGUGAAGGAUAAAAAUCAUGAGAACACCUGCAGAUGCAGAAAAAGCAUCUGAUAAAAUUCAACAUCCAUUUGUGAAAGAAGUCUCAAGGAAGCAGGUAUGGAGGGAACAUAGCUCACCCUAAUAAAGGCCGUAUAUGACACCCCACAGCUAGCAUCGUCUUCGACGGUGAGAAGCUGGAAGCUGUUCUCUGGGAUCGGAAACAAGGCCGAGACGCCCAGACUCACCACUUCUAGUCAACUGGAGGUCCUUCUGGAACAAUUGGGCAAGAAAGAGAAGGGCACUGAAAUGGAAAGGCAGGGCAAGACUGUCACUAUUUCCAGAUGCCAUGAUGCCCUAUGGAGAGGACUCUGAAGGCCCUAUAGAAAAACCCGUGAGAGGGGCGCCUGGGUGGCUCAGUCGGUUAAGCGUCCGACUUCGGCUCAGGUCAUGAUCUCACGGUUCGUGGGUUCGAGCCCCCUGUCAGGCUCUGUGCCGACAGCUCGGAGCCUGGAGCCUGCUUCGGAUUCUGUGUCUCCCUCUCUCUCAGCUCCUCCCCCACUUGCGUUCUUGCUCUCUCUCUCUCUCUCUCAAAAAUAAACAUUAAAAUUUUUUUGAAAUCACUAUCUUGAAGAGAUAUCCGCACGGCCAUGUUCACUGCCACAUUAUUCACAGCAGCCGAGAUAUGGAAACGACCUCAGUGUCCACUGAUGGAUGAGGAUAUAUACAAGACGAUCUAUUAGCCAUAUAAAGAAUAGAAUCUUGCCAUUUACAACAUGGAGAGACCUUGAGGGCAUUAUGCUCAGUGAAAUACGUCAGAGAAACAAAUACGUGUGAUCUCUCCUACACGUGGAAUCAAAACCGUCCCGCAAAAACCAAGCUCACAGAUACAGAGAACAGAUUGGUGGUUGUAAGAGGCAGGGGGUGGGGGUUAGAGAAACGGACAAACUGUGUGUUUUGUGUUUCUGUGUUAGUUUAAAUAGCUUGAAUUUGAAUUUAUUUAGUUUAAAUAAUUUGAGUAAAAAUUGUAAAAAUGUAGAUGGUGCCUUAUUCCCAGGUAGGAAGCGUUAUUUGAAAUUUAGAAUGUAUUUUGCACGAAGAGUUGUCAAUGGUGUUGAGAUUCCCAGGCCGGCUUGCAAAAACCUUUAGCAGUAGAAUAGAAAACAGUACUGCUGAAAUAGCAGUUAGACAAAUUAGACAGAUUAAGUUCUUUAGAAGUGAUUUGGAGCCCCGCUGGUGAAAACGAAGGAUGUUCGAUUGCAGGGUUUGUGGGGCGAAAGGCGUGGCGGUUCUGAGGGGGAAGUCUGAACCCAUCAGGGGCUUUCGGGGUGAAGGGUGCUGGUUCAUUAAUAUCUCUGGUUGCACUUUCCGAUUUAUGGCUUAACUUUGUUUUGUAUGAAUAUAUCAUUAACUUUAUUCUUCGGUUUCUCAGCAACUAUCAAGUUUUUAAUUUUCAAAGAGGAAAAGAAAAAGUAAAUGGCAAGAAACUGUCUAGAUGGGCGCUUUCCUGAAGCACCAAGGUCAGAUCACAAGAGGCAGGGAGAGAGGAGUCUCCUUUCAGCUGAGCUCAUCACGCGGGACUAGCGAGGCCUCCUGCCUCGCCUGGAGUUUGGCUGGGCCGUGACUGGCCUCUGGCUUCUAGAAAGUGGCAGAGGCCCUGUAAGCUGUCCCAGGCCUGGCCCUAGAGGCGAGCGAGCUCCCCUGGGUGGCCCACCAGGUCGGCCAGGGCCACGGCAGAGGAGCAGUGCGGGGUUGUUGUGUCCCUCUAUACAGCGGGUUCUUUUCACUAGAUGCGGUCGAGAUUUUCUGGCAGUUUGUUACACACCGAGCCACGUUUCUCUUCGUAUUUUUUCUGUUCGGGGCUUGUCGGUUUCUUCAGACUAUACAAUCAGGUCUUUCGUUGAACUCGGGACUUUUUUGAGUGUUACUUGUUCGAGUAUUCUUGCCCCGUUCUCCCUCUCCUCUUCCUCUGGGACUCCUGUCCCGGGAAGGUGCGACCCCGGCGUGGACGUGCAGGCCCAAUAGCUCAGAACGAAUCUGCCACACGUGCCAGACUGCACAACGAUCGUGAUAGCGUGGUGGCUGCACGGUCCCUUGGGGGGGGGGGGCGCCGUGGGGACGGCGUGUCCUUCCGCGACGUCCAGCGCCGGCUAGAAUCCUGGAGGCCGGGCCCGGGCUCACCUGGAGGCGCCCGGUAGUGAGAGACGGCGAGGGCCCGGCCGGCGCGGCGCCCUACGGGGGCUCCCAGGCGGGCGGAGGCGGAGGCGGAGGCGGAGGGAGAGGGCAGGCAGGGGUCCCCGUGCCCAGACAGCUCCCCUGGGCUGACGCACCAGGGACAUGCCGCUGGCCUCUUGUUGGUUGAGGCCACCGGGCCCAGCCGCGUCCGGCUUGUGCGUUCCGGCAGGCGGUGACCCUGGUGGCCUUCCACGGCGACCUCUGCUUCGGGGGCGGCAGAGCGCGGCGUCCCGGGCCGGGCCGUAACCUCCUCUGGGAGGUCUCAUCCAACCUCACUCCCGGGUCGGGGCCCCAUGUGCCCUUGCGGUCCUGGGACUUACCUUUCGUCCAGCGCUUCCUGUCGGGCCGCCUGGGAGUAGGCGGGUGGCCAGGACACCUGUCCCCAGCAAAUGGCCGUGGGAUCUUGGCCAGGCCCAUCCCUCUGUGCCUCAGUGUCCCGCUCGGUAGCGGGUCGGUAAUAACCACACCUGCCCUGGGGACAGUCGCGAGGGUCCAGCGAACUUGCGCGUGACGAGCAGAGGGCGGGUGAGCGCUCACGACUGUUGGCUCCGUACUCCUCCCCCACCCGUCUCGGGGCUGAAGUCGGGGCUGUCCACACGGCUGCCUGGCCCGGGGCUGUCGCACACGGCGGCUGUGUGCUCGGGGGGUAGAGCCCGGGCCCCUCACGGCCCACCCCUGCAGGCGCCUCCACGGGCUGUGAGGGGCCCGGGCGGGUCCAGGGGGUGGGCGUGGCAGCUGCGUCCACACACAGCAGAGCCGGUGACACGGCGGAGAAGUCUGACUUAACCCCUGCACAAAUAUGACGUUUUAUUUUUCCUAAUAAAACAGAUUACUUAUCA